UCCAAUUCCACAAACAAUAGAAGAAUACUGGGUCUUUUACACUUAGGUAGACAAGGCAAGAUUAGUUUCAUAGAGGCUUUAAAUAAAGAAUUAGUAAAUGUAAAGCUCCCAAAAGCAUGCAUUAACCUCAAUACAAACAUCUAUAUAUUCCAAAAUGUGUUAUUUCUAUCUGCUAUAAAGGUGUGUACAGUAGCACUUGCUGAAUUUCUUUAUUUAGAUCUGACCCCAGAGCCACCAUCUGUCCCCCUCCAUGCCAGGAGAGUGCGUACUGUUCUAACACUGCCCCUGCUGUUAUCAAAGAGGCCUGCUCUGCACGGCCAAGUCCCUGCCUGGACCUCUGACAGGGUGACGACAACAUAUCUCACUGACGUAGCACUACUGGCUCAGUUGGGUCCUCUCCCUUGUACCACCCCGUGACAGAACGAUCCGACCAAAGUAUGGACCCAGCAGAGAUUUUGGGUGACGAACUGUAUGAUCUUGCAUACACUCUAAUGUGUCUCCAUGGGGAGUGGAAAAGAGCCCCCUGUUCGUAGCUUCAACAGGGGGCUUUAGGCUUGUCUCAAGAGAAAAUGGCUGAGAAGCCCGAGCUAAAGAGUCUUUUGCCUGAGUGGCUUCAGGUAUUUUUGAAUCUACCACAUUGCUCGCCGUGUCCUUAGUCAACCUCUGGGCAUCGAGAUAUCUCGUAUUCUGAGGCCAUGAUGCAACAGCCUCUGGUUCCUGCUGCCGGGCCGCGACAGACCCCCGUUCAAGCUGCUGCCGGACCUCUGCAGACCUCUGCAGACCCCAGCUGUCCCCCCUUUGCUUCUCGAGACCCCUGUGCUUCCCUCACCUCUCGAUACCCCAGUCCGUGCGUUCCCAUCGCCUUUUGAGAUCCUGUGCUCCCUUCGCCUCUCGAGACCCCAGUGCUCCCUUUGCUUCUCCGCCCGUCCUCCUGACCGGCUGACCUGAUGAAACCAUCAGCAGGACAUUUGAAAACAUAAAUGUGUGUUAAAGUCAGAUUAGGCACAAAUAAGACUUGGUUAGUUUUAGAGAAAGAUUGUGGUUUUGGGUGAAAAUAAGUGAUAAUAAAUGUGAUUAUUGAAUAAUAUCUGGUGGUAUUGUUGAGCAGUUUAUAUAGUAAAUGAUCUUUAUGUUGUUCCAAGAGUUUGUAAAAAUGCAGCCGUCACUUUAAAGCUGUAGUUAUCAGCUGGUACUAAAAUGUAUCUUCUAUGUGUUCUGUGCUGCUGCUGUGCAGAAUAAAACCUUCACACUGCUGCCCUCUAGUGUCUGCAACAACACACUGUUUCAUCCUGUGCUGCUGCUUUCACUGCUACAACUGUUCCUAUUAGUUUAGUUUCAAGUUUUAUUUGUCAAAUGUAGGUUAACACAGGGUCAACGGUACAAUGAAAUGUGUGCGAGAGAGACAGCAUGUCAGCUCAGCAAAAUUAAGUGAUAUAUAUUUUUUACAAUCUUUUAAAAUAAGUACUAUAUACAAUUGAGUUAAACAACAACAAAAAAAAAACUUAUGUACAUAUAUGAAGAAAAAAGGGGGGUUGUGCAGUACAAUAAAUAAUAAUAUUUACUUAUAUUUAUUUAGUGCAGACAGUGAGAGUCUGUGUCUGUGGGUCUGGAGGUUGAGAAGCCUGAUGGCUUGGUGGUAAAAAUUGUCCUUGAGUCUGAUGGUGCGGCCAGGUUCCGGUAUCGUCUGCCUGACGGUAACAAGGAGAACAGUCUGCUGGGUGGCUGUGGUCCUUUAUGAUGCUGGGUGCCUUCCGGAGGCACCGCUGGUGGAAAAUGUCCUGAAUGGCCGGGAGACUGUUGCCAAUGGUGAGCUGUGCUGCCUC
rnacentral:lncRNA from 1 species